UAGGAGAGAGAGAGGCACUGAAACACAGUGGCCAGGCAGACUUCUCCGGCUCCAGUCCUUCCCCGCCGACGCCUGCUCCACCACCGCAUGACUGGGGGGUGGGGAUGGAGGGCGGCGUUGGUGCCCACCCCACCGGCAGAGACUCACGCUGGCGGGACACAGAGGAGGAGGGACCAAACACAGCGAUAAGCCACAUGUGUAAGGAUCUCUCAAGAUCUCUCACCAAAAACCCUUCAGAGAACUGAGAAACUCAGGAGCACUAACAUCAUCAUGUGACACCAGGCAAUGGGAAUCACUGAUGAAGUCCGUGGGGCAACUAGCCUGCAUUGUUGUAAAGAAGCACGAAUAUUUAUUAUGCCCCUCUGUGGUAUAUUCAGCUGGGAACUUGCUGUAUGUGUCACUAAAGGAUUUGGCUCGGGG